AAUCUUCCGCAAUGGACGAAAGUCUGACGGAGCAACGCCGCGUGAACGAUGAAGGUCUUCGGAUCGUAAAGUUCUGUUGUUAGGGAAGAACAAGUACCGGAGUAACUGCCGGUACCUUGACGGUACCUAAUUAGAAAGCCACGGCUAACUACCUUCCAGCAGCCGCGGUAAUACGUAGGUGGCAAGCGUUGUCCGGAAUUAUUGGGCGUAAAGGGCACGCAGGCGGUUAUUUAAGUCUGAUGUGAAAUCUUGUGGCUUAACCACAAGCGGUCAUUGGAAACUGGAUAACUUGAGUACAGAAGAGGAGAGUGGAAUUCCACGUGUAGCGGUGAAAUGCGUAGAGAUGUGGAGGAACACCAGUGGCGAAGGCGGCUCUCUGGUCUGUAACUGACGCUGAGGUGCGAAAGCGUGGGUAGCGAACA
rnacentral:rRNA from 1 species